rnacentral:rRNA from 1 species
AACGUAGGACGCAAGCGGUAUCCGGAAUUACUGGGCGUAAAGCGCGUGUAGGCGGGUCUGUAAGUCUGUCGUGAAAGCUCCCGGCUAAACUGGGAGAGGUCGAUGGAAACUACAGGUCUGGAGUUUGGCAGAGGAAUGUGGAAUUCCGCGUGUAGUGGUGAAAUGCGUAGAGAUGCGGAGGAACACCAGUGGCGAAGGCGGCAUUCUGGGCCACAACUGACGCUGAGACGCGAAAGCGUGGGGAGCAAACAGG